UACGAACUGUGCAAACGUUAUUCGGAAUCACUGGGCUUAAAGGGUGCGUAGGCGGCUUGUCAAGUAGGGUGUGAAAGCCCCCGGCUUAACCGGGGAAUUGCGCCCUAAACUGACGAGCUGGAGUGGGACAGGGGUGUGUGGAACUUCCGGUGGAGCGGUGAAAUGUGUUGAUAUCGGAAGGAACGCCGGUGGCGAAAGCGACACACUGGGUCUCAACUGACGCUGAGACGCGAAAGCGUGGGGAGCAAACAGG
rnacentral:rRNA from 1 species